AUUGACCGCUGGUGGCAGGCCUAAAACAUGCACGUCGAGCGGAGCGGCGGACGGGUGAGUAAUGCCUCGGAAUCUGCCUGUUGGUGGGGGAUAACGUCCGGAAACGGGCGCUAAUAUCGCAUAAGAUCAGAUGAGACUAGGUCGUAUUAGCUAGUUGGUGGGGAAAAGGCCUACAAAUGCGACGAUCCUUAACUGGUCUGAGAGGAUGAUCAGUCACACGGGAACUGAGAAACGGCCCAGACUCCUACGGGAGGCAGCAGUGGGGAAUAUUGGAAAAUGGGCGAAAGCCUGAUCCAGCCAUGCCGCGUGUGUGAAGAAGGUCUUCGGAUUGUAAAGCACUUUAAGUUGGGAGGCGUUACCAACAGAAUAAGCACCGGCUAACUUCGUGCCAGCAGCCGCGGUAAUAC
rnacentral:rRNA from 1 species